rnacentral:rRNA from 1 species
UUGCCCGUACCGUAAACCGACACAGGUGGGUGGGAUGAGUAUUCUAAGGCGCGUGGAAGAACUCUCUUUAAGGAACUCUGCAAAAUAGCACCGUAUCUUCGGUAUAAGGUGUGGUUCGCUUCGUAUUAGGAUUUACUCCGAAAGCGAAGAAACUUACAACAAAGAGUCCCUCCCGACUGUUUACCAAAAACACAGCACUCUGCUAACUCGUAAGAGGAUGUAUAGGGUGUGACGCCUGCCCGGUGCUCGAAGGUUAAUUGAUGGGGUUAGCAUUAGCGAAGCUCUUGAUCGAAGCCCGAGUAAACGGCGGCCGUAACUAUAACGGUCCUAAGGUAGCGAAAUUCCUUGUCGGUUAAAUACCGACCUGCAUGAAUGGCGUAACGAGAUGGGAGCUGUCUCAAAGAGGGAUCCAGUGAAAUUGUAGUGGAGGUGAAAAUUCCUCCUACCCGCGGCAAGACGGAAAGACCCCGUGGACCUUUACUACAGCUUGACACUGCUAUUUGGAUAAGAAUGUGCAGGAUAGGUGGGAGGCUUUGAGUAUAUGACGCCAGUUGUAUAUGAGCCAUUGUUGAGAUACCACUCUUUCUUAUUUGGGUAGCUAACCAGCUUGAGUUAUCCUCAAGUGGGACAAUGUCUGGUGGGUAGUUUGACUGGGGCGGUCGCCUCCCAAAUAAUAACGGAGGCUUACAAAGGUUGGCUCAGAACGGUUGGAAAUCGUUCGUAGAGUAUAAAGGUAUAAGCCAGCUUAACUGCAAGACAUACAAGUCAAGCAGAGACGAAAGUCGGUCUUAGUGAUCCGGUGGUUCUGUGUGGAAGGGCCAUCGCUCAAAGGAUAAAAGGUACCCCGGGGAUAACAGGCUGAUCUCCCCCAAGAGCUCACAUCGACGGGGAGGUUUGGCACCUCGAUGUCGGCUCAUCGCAUCCUGGGGCUGGAGCAGGUCCCAAGGGUAUGGCUGUUCGCCAUUUAAAGCGGUACGCGAGCUGGGUUCAGAACGUCGUGAGACAGUUCGGUCCCUAUCUGCCGUGGGCGUAAGAAGAUUGAAGAGAUUUGACCCUAGUACGAGAGGACCGGGUUGAACAAACCACUGGUGUAGCUGUUGUUCUGCCAAGAGCAUCGCAGCGUAGCUAAGUUUGGAAAGGAUAAACGCUGAAAGCAUCUAAGCGUGAAGCCAACUC